UAGGGAAUCUUCCACAAUGGGCGAAAGCCUGAUGGAGCAACGCCGCGUGUGUGAUGAAGGGUUUCGGCUCGUAAAACACUGUUGUAAGAGAAGAAUGACAUUGAGAGUAACUGUUCAAUGUGUGACGGUAUCUUACCAGAAAGGAACGGCUAAAUACGUGCUAG
rnacentral:rRNA from 1 species